rnacentral:rRNA from 1 species
UACGGAGGGUGCAAGCGUUGCUCGGAAUUAUUGGGCGUAAAGGGCAAGUAGGUGGUCUCAUUUGUCAGGGGUGAAAGCCUUGGGCUUAACCCGAGAAGUGCCCCUGAAACGGUGAGACUAGAGUACUGGAGAGGGUCGUGGAAUUCCCGGUGUAGCGGUGAAAUGCGCAGAUAUCAGGAGGAACACCGGUGGCGAAGGCGGGUCUCUGGGCCGAAAUUGACGCUGAGGAGCGAAAGCGUGGGGAGCAAACAGG